rnacentral:tmRNA from 1 species
GGGGUUGUACUGGUUUCGACGGAGGUUUUGAAGUUACGAUAGCCAUUCGCGGCCUGGGACCGCGUCAUCAACCUAGAACUUAAAUAUAAACGCAGACGAUAAUUACGAUUUAGCGUUCGCAGCUUAGUAAAGCUGCUGUCGAACUUAGGACUCUUGCGACCUAAGACCUCGGCAUCAUAACUAGCAAGAAACUCUGCUUUCAAAGCUUUGAGAAAGUAGAAAAUCUAUGAAGCUACUAAGUGCUUAAGCCUGUCAAUUGGCGUAAUCACUUGGGAAUGUUAGUAAAUUGACUAUAAUGGUAGAAGUCGUAAUGAAUGGACUUUCGGACAGGGGUUCGAUUCCCCUCAGCUCCACUA